GGUUGUAGCUCAGUGGUAGAGUGUUUGCCUUGAAUGUGUGAGGCACUGGGUUUGAUCCUCAGCACCA
rnacentral:tRNA from 1 species